rnacentral:rRNA from 1 species
AACGAACGCUGGCGGCAGGCUUAACACGUGCAAGUCGAGCGCCCCGCAAGGGGAGCGGCAGACGGGUGAGUAACGCGUGGGAAUCUACCCAUCCCUACGGAAUAGCUCCGGGAAACUGUAAUUAAUACCGUAUACGCCCUACGGGGGAAAGAUUUAUCGGGGAUGGAUGAGCCCGCGUUGGAUUAGCUAGUUGGUGGGGUAAAGGCCUACCAAGGCGACGAUCCAUAGCUGGUCUGAGAGGAUGAUCAGCCACAUUGGGACUGAGACACGGCCCAAACUCCUACGGGAGGCAGCAGUGGGGAAUAUUGGACAAUGGGGGCAACCUUGAUCCAGCCAUGCCGCGUGAGUGAUGAAGGCCUUAGGGUUGUAAAGCUCUUUCACCGGGGAAGAUAAUGACGGUACCCGGAGAAGAAGCCCCGGCUAACUUCGUGCCAGCCGCCGCGGUAA